GGAACUGCCUACAUGAAAUAUCGAGGCGUAAUGGAGCUCUGACACCUCUACUGCAGGAAGUCCAUGUGUCAAUACCUGCUCCAUGGUCCAUCCUCCCUCCAUUCCUGCUCACUUUCACACCACUGCCUCAGGCUGAUGCUGGGGGCUGAGCAGUGCCUGGACCAAAGUCACUGUGCUCCUUUUCAAAGUGGUGCUUGUGGACAGAGAAGCCUUGAAAAGGAUGAGCCCAGAGCAGCAGGUUCCCUGCAGAAAUCAGAGGGAAAGGCUAGAGAAAAGGAUUACUCUGCUUGAGGGAGGCUGGACCAGAUGACGCACUGUGGUCCCUCCCAACCUUAUCCAUGAUGUGAUUCUGUGAUUCCCAAGUGAGAGAUGUGGGUGAGAGCCUCAGGUGAGCAGUGGGAAGGGUGGCCAGAGUUCCCUGCAGAUUUUCCAGAGCUGUAAGUGGGCUCUAUGCAAACCCACGGGUAACAUGCAGGACAGCCUCAAAAUGCCUCUUUUCUUGGAGCUGCCUGUCCAGAACUCCAGCACAAUAUUUUCACAAUUGUCAGUGCUGCAUGUGAAAAAAGACUUUGUCAAAGCAGAGAGGAGAGAGGGCUUCUCUGUGCCAGG